AAUAGUACCUUAAAAAAAAGUUGAACAUAUCCAUAUAAAUUAUAUAAAAAUUUAUGUCAAUUUUAUGUGCUUGGCCUAUGGGCUUCACCAUCAAUUCUUUUUAAGACAAUAUCUUAUCAAAAUAACCUAUAAGAUAUUUAAAUACAUUUAGGGUUGACAUUGCUUAAAAACUAUUUAGAAUAAACAAAAACAUGAUUGAAAAAUAGAGAU
rnacentral:lncRNA from 1 species